rnacentral:rRNA from 1 species
AUUGAACGCUGGCGGCAGGCCUAACACAUGCAAGUCGAACGCGUGGCGGACGUGUGUGUAAUGUCUGGGAAACUGCCUGAUGGCGGGGGAUCUCCACGGGACACGGUAUCUAAUCCCGCAUACCAUCAGAUGUGCCCAGAUGGGAUUAGCUUGUUGGUGGGGUAACGGCUCACCAAGGCGACGAUCCCUAGCUGGUCUGAGAGGAUGACCAGCCACACUGGAACUGAGACACGGUCCAGACUCCUACGGGAGGCAGCAGUGGGGAAUAUUGCACAAUGGGCGCAAGCCUGAUGCAGCCAUGCCGCGUGUAUGAAGAAGGCCUUCGGGUUGUAAAGUACUUUCAGCGGGGAGGCGUUACCCGCAGAAGAAGCACCGGCUAACUCCGUGCCAGCAGCCGCGGUAAUUC